rnacentral:lncRNA from 1 species
AAUUUGACCAUUGCGAAGCAGAGGGCCGAUAACAAAAUUAAAGCCUGGAUUUGACCAUUGCCUUGCAGAGGGCCAAAAUCGCAGAAGAAAAACAUAAAUUUGACCAUUGCGAAGCAGAGGGCCGAUAACAAAAUUAAAGCCUGGAUUUGACCAUUGCCUUGCAGAGGGCCAAAAUUCGCAGAAGAAAACAUAAAUUUGACCAUUGCGAAGCAGAGGGCCGAUAACAAAAUUAAAAACUUGAGCUUAAGGUACCAGGCGAACUGGGCUUUGGGUGCCAGACAAAACUAGGCUUUUGUGAGUCAGGUGAAACUGGGCUUAUGGGCC